GGGGAAUUUUCCGCAAUGGGCGAAAGCCUGACGGAGCAAUACCGCGUGAGGGAGGAAGGCUCUUGGGUCGUAAACCUCUUUUCUCAGGGAAGAACACAAUGACGGUACCUGAGGAAUAAGCAUCGGCUAACUCCGUGCCAGCAGCCGCGGUAAUACGGAGGAUGCAAGCGUUACCCGGAAUGAUUGGGCGUAAAGCGUCCGCAGGUGGCGAUGUAAGUCUGCUGUUAAAGAGUCUAGCUCAACUAGAUAAGAGCAGUGGAAACUACAUAGCUAGAGUACGUUCGGGGCAGAGGGAAUUCCUGGUGUAGCGGUGAAAUGCGUAGAGAUCAGGAAGAACACCGGUGACGAAGGCGCUCUGCUAGGCCGUAACUGACACUGAGGGACGAAAGCUAGGGGAGCGAAUGGGAUUAGAUACCCCAGUAGUC
rnacentral:rRNA from 1 species